rnacentral:lncRNA from 1 species
AUUAAGCAAAAUAAUUCUAAUAUAAACAAACUUGACAAUAUUAAUCUUAUUAUUUUCCUUUUGCAUGUAUGAAGAAGAAUAUAAUUUUAUUAUUUUUUAAUAUAUAAAAAGUCCAUGGUUUCCUUUUUCUUUUUCUUUUUUUGAAUGGGAGCUAAUGCUUUCCUAAUAUAAAUUAAAUAGGGUUUUAGUCCUUAUGGAGUUUUAAAAAUCAAUUCCUAAAAUAAAUCAUUUAUUAAAUGUGUCAUGAAUACAUUCAUUUGCUGAUUUUUGUCUCUUCAACGCACUUAGCUUGACACUUCCAUAAAAUACUUACUAAUCAUAAGAAUUCAUUUUUUUUUUAACACACAUGUACACCUGCCCUCACUACACCUCGGUUUAAUACACCUGCUGCGCACACUACACCACGGUUUAGAAGGAAGUGGGCAAUAAUCUUUUGGACAAUCAGAAUUUUCAAAACAUUUAGGAGCAGCUGUAACGAAAAAAGAAAAUAAAAAAAUAUAAAUAUAAUGUCAUAAAAUAUUGGGUAGGAAGUAAAUAGGCAAUAAUCUUUUGGACAAUCAGAAUUUUCAAAACAUUUAGGAGCAGCUGUAACGAAAAAAGAAAAUAAAAAAAUAUAAAUAUAAUGUCAUAAAAUAUUGGGUAGGAAGUAAAUAAAGAAAUUUGAAAAGGAUAGAAAAAAUACUUACCAUCAGCAUUCAUUGCAACAACAAGUUUGAAAAGAAAGAUAAACAUAACACAAACAAACUUGACAAUUUGACCCAUAUUUCACCCCUUUGUAUGUAUAAACUAGAAUAUGAUUUUAUCACUUUAUAAGCUAAAAAGUU